ensembl:misc_RNA Metazoa_SRP Metazoan signal recognition particle RNA
GCCGGGCGCGGUGGCGCGCGCCUGUAAUCCCAGCUACUCGGGAGGCUGAGGCUGGAGGAUCGCUUGAGCCCAGGAGUUCUGGGCUGCAGUGCGCUAUGCCGAUCGGGUGUCCGCACUAAGUUCGGCAUCAAUAUGGUGACCCUCCGGGAGCGGGGGACCACCGGGUUGCCUAAGGAGGGGUGAAUCGGCCCAGGUCGGAAACGGAGCAGGUCAAAACUCCCAUGCUUAUCAGUAAUUAUGAUGAAGAGAACUGUUAUUACAGUUCCUUCAAAACCCCAUUAAUGAGUGUGU